rnacentral:rRNA from 1 species
AUUGAGCGCUGGCGGCAUGCCUUACACAUGCAAGUCGAACGGCAGCACGGGAGCAAUCCUGGUGGCGAGUGGCGAACGGGUGAGUAAUAUAUCGGAACGUGCCCAGUCGUGGGGGAUAACGUAGCGAAAGCUACGCUAAUACCGCAUACGAUCUAUGGAUGAAAGCGGGGGAUCGCAAGACCUCGCGCGAUUGGAGCGGCCGAUAUCAGAUUAGGUAGUUGGUGAGGUAAAGGCUCACCAAGCCGACGAUCUGUAGCUGGUCUGAGAGGACGACCAGCCACACUGGGACUGAGACACGGCCCAGACUCCUACGGGAGGCAGCAGUGGGGAAUUUUGGACAAUGGGCGCAAGCCUGAUCCAGCAAUGCCGCGUGCAGGAUGAAGGCCUUCGGGUUGUAAACUGCUUUUGUAUGGAACGAAACGGCGAGCUCUAAUACAGUUUGCUAAUGACGGUACCGUAAGAAUAAGCACCGGCUAACUACGUGCCAGCCGCCGCUGUAA